rnacentral:rRNA from 1 species
GGGGAGCGGCAGACGGGUGAGUACGCGUGGGACUCUACCCUUUCACGGAAGAUCGCAGGGAAACUUGUGCUACUUCCGUAGACGCCCUUCGGUGGAAAGAUUUUUCGGGGAAGGAUGAGCCCGCUUUGGAUUCGCUAGUUGGUGGGGUAAAGGCCUACCUGGCGACGAUCCAUAUCUGUGCUGAGAGGAUGAUCGGCCACGUUGGGACUGACACACGGCCCAAACUCCUACGGGAGGCAGCAGUGGGGAAUAUUGGACAAUGGGCGCAAGCCUGAUCCAGCCAUGCCGCGUGAGUGAUGAAGGCCCUAGGGUUGUAAAGCUCUUUCACCGGUGAAGAUAAUGACGGUAACCGGAGAAGAAGCCCCGGCUAACUUCGUGCCAGCAGCCGCGGUAAUACGAAGGGGGCUAGCGUUGUUCGGAAUUACUGGGCGUAAAGCGCACGUAGGCGGACAUUUAAGUCAGGGGUGAAAUCCCGGGGCUCAACCCCGGAACUGCCUUUGAUACUGGGUGUCUAGAGUAUGGAAGAGGUGAGUGGAAUUUCCGAGUGUAGAGGUGAAAUUUCGUAGAUAUUCGGAGGAACACCAGUGGCAAAGGCGGCUCACUGGUCCAUUACUGACGCUGAAGGUGCCAAAGCGUGGGGGAGCAAACAGGGAUUAGAUACCCUGGGUAGUUCC